rnacentral:lncRNA from 1 species
CUACCUUGACUAGUAUGAUAGGACCAUUCACCAAAAUGCCUUAUUUCUGCCGUCUUCUCAUGAUCUUUAUGUUGCAAUUAUUUGUGUGGGGUUCUUCGGGGCAAUAUGUGCUGUACUGAAAUAAUGAAACAAUGAACUUGAUCCCUCUCCAGUACUUGUGAGAAGGUUGGAAUUUAUUGACAUUGUGGAGAAAUCUUGAAUUCCAUUUCCUUUUUUUUCCCUAUUUUAUUUUUUAUUCAUAUAAAUAUAAAUUUUUUUUAAAGAACAAUUGUUAGAUUAGGGUAUUUUAUAUAAUAACAGUAUUUUAUAAGAGUAUACAUGCAAAUAUCAAUUUUGAAAGGGUAUUCAUACGAAAUUCGAUAUUUAGAAAGAUAUUCAUGCAAAAAAAAAUUAUUUAUUUAUCUUUUGGUGUAACUGACUAUUUAUAUACGACACGGGCAUGAGAACCAUGCAUUCGUGCUUGAGCUGGAUCAAACCAUGCAGGGCAUCUACCUGCACCAUAUUACU